UUACUAUCUGCGAUAUGGAAGAUUCGAACCUGCCGCAGGUUCGGGUCGAACGCAGUGAGACAACGGAGCCGUUUACGGCGACGGCCCGAAGGGCGAGGCGAAGCCGAGUCAUCCUGCACGACCCACCA
rnacentral:sRNA from 9 species